CGGGAAGAGCUCAAAUUUGAAAUCUGGUAGCCUUCGGUUGCCCGAGUUGUAAUCUAGAGAAAUGUUUUCCGUGCCGGCCCAUGUACAAGUCCCUUGGAACAGGGCGUCAUAGAGGGUGAGAAUCCCGUCCUUGACAUGGACCCCCGGUGCUUUGUGAUACAUUUUCAACGAGUCGAGUUGUUUGGGAAUGCAGCUCAAAAUGGGUGGUGAAUUCCAUCUAAAGCUAAAUAUUGGCGAGAGACCGAUAGCGAACAAGUACCGUGAGGGAAAGAUGAAAAGCACUUUGGAAAGAGAGUUAAACAGUACGUGAAAUUGUUGAAAGGGAAACGAUUGAAGUCAGUCAUGCUCUUUGGUAUUUAUAUCAUUGAGUGGGGUCAACAUCAGUUUUGAUCGAUGGAUAAAGGCACUAGGAAUGUAGCACUCUCGGGUGAACUUAUAGCC
rnacentral:rRNA from 1 species